GACCAUAGCUCAGUGGGAGGACACUGAGGUCCCAGGUUCAAUUCCUGGCAUCUGCA
rnacentral:tRNA from 1 species